rnacentral:lncRNA from 1 species
CUCAGCUGCGCUGGAAGGCAUGAAUGGAGGAUAGCCUUGAUCCUCAGGAUACCAGGAGAAGGAACUGCUACAGUAACAUCACACRCUUUGAGGACAGGAAAAGAAGUAGUAGUAUCCAGGAAUUUCCUACUGUCUGCCGCUUGGGACAUAUAAUACUUCUGGGACUGCUUCUUAAAGGAGUAUAGAACAGUAUUUUCCAGGCUGUUACAGUAUGUUUGGAUCCAUGGGAGAACAGAUGGGACAGCAUGCAGAACUCGGAGGUCGUCAUUCUUGUGGACAGCCUACAAUGAAACACAAGCCAAUGUUCUAGGUAAUAGGGAGACUCUUCUG